GACGAACGUUGGCGGCGUGCUUAAUACAUGCAAGUCAACUGAAGCACCGGUAGUAAUACUGGUGUGGAGGUGGCGCACGGGUGAGUAACACGUAGGUAAUCUGCCUUCAGGUCUGACAUAACCCCGAGAAAUCGGGGCUAAUAGCAGAUGAUGCAGCGGCUUGACAUCAAGACAGUUGUUAAAGCUUCGGCGCCUGAAGAUGAGCCUGCGUCUGAUUAGCUAGUUGGCGGAGUAAUAGCCCACCAAGGCGACGAUCAGUAGCUGGUCUGAGAGGAUGAUCAGCCACACUGGAACUGAGACACGGUCCAGACUCCUACGGGAGGCAGCAGUAAGGAAUAUUGCUCAAUGGGAGAAAUCCUGAAGCAGCAACGCCGCGUGAGGGAUGAAGGGCUUUUGCUCGUAAACCUCUGUAGUGAGGGAAAAAAUUUCCAUUCUAUGGAAUAUGAUGGUACC
rnacentral:rRNA from 1 species